AAGAUUGCGUAGUUUGGGCCGUACCCCAUCAGAGAAGCGCCAAUCAUGAAGAUCACCGAUGCUAAAACAAUCGUGUACCGGCGACCAAUUAUGUCGGAGGUUCUUCCUGCCGUCAACGAUCCCACCAGUGCGCACAGAGUGAUAGAAAAGAAAGAAGAACUUACCAUAACCAAAGAUGAUAGAUAUAAUGGAGCCAACAAUAGCACAUGCCAAAGCAUAUUUAUUGACUUUGUUAUGAGUUCCAGUAGUGGCUCCUCCAUCCAAACCCACCAUUGUCAUCUCCAUUUUGAUGGUAUCUUCUUCUCCGAUCAAUGUUUAUGUUCUUAACAAUUAUAUACACUACAGAAAGAAGAAUUGGAGCCCAUAUGAUCCAAAAAGAUAAGAAAUGAAACUAAGGUGGAGGUCACAAAGACAUCGGAUUUUGUGACUGAAUUGAUUGCUUUUUAUUCAAGAAUCGAUGUGUUAUUUCUGUUGAAUAGAUAAGAAUGAUUAAGAACAACUUGAAGAUCAAUGGAAAAAAAAAGAAUGGUGAUGAAUAAUCUGAAUCGAACUGUCUUGGUUUGGUUCUAAAUGUUAUUACUCUUCACCUAUGAAACCCAAUUUUGUUGUGGUUUGUCAUCAAAUCAAACUGCUUUUAGUUUCACAAAAUUGAAGACAAAAAUGGUCAUGUUUGUUUGAGUUCCAGUCCUGACUUCCAGCAUGUUGAUUGGAUACUCCCUAAAAUCGGGAUGGUGGUUUUGUUUUUCUUUGUUUUGGAUCUAUGUAUCAAUCAAUUAACGUUUCCUUA